rnacentral:rRNA from 1 species
UACGUAGGGCGCAAGCGUUGUCCGGAAUUAUUGGGCGUAAAGAGCUCGUAGGCGGCCUGUUGCGUCCGCUGUGAAAUCCCGGGGCUCAACCCCGGGCCUGCAGUGGAUACGGGCAGGCUAGAGUGUGGUAGGGGAGAUCGGAAUUCCUGGUGUAGCGGUGAAAUGCGCAGAUAUCAGGAGGAACACCGGUGGCGAAGGCGGAUCUCUGGGCCAUUACUGACGCUGAGGAGCGAAAGCGUGGGGAGCGAACAGG